CGAGAAGGAGGGGACAUCGCUGGCGGUUAAACGCUGGAGGAAGGUCUGGACUCCAUAUGGCAGCGUAGCGGGUAACUCCCGUCCACCGUGAGGUGAGGACUAGUGCAACAGAAAGUAUGUACGGGGGCCGGUUCGCCGGCCCUGCUGUAGUGAAAUCAGGUAAACUCUACGCGGUGCAAGUCCAAAUAGGCCUGCGCAGAACCUUGCGGGCAACCAAUGGGUUCCUAGGACGGCCAGUCCGAGCAGGCGGGUAGGACGCUCGAGGUUUGAGGCAACUCAGAUCCCAGAUGAAUGAUGGCCCAAGACAAAAUCCGGCCUACACUUCUUCUCGGUGU
rnacentral:RNase_P_RNA from 2 species